rnacentral:rRNA from 1 species
GACGAACGCUGGCGGCGUGCCUAAUACAUGCAAGUAGAACGCUGAAGCGAGGAGCUUACUCUUCUUGGAUGAGUUGCGAACGGGUGAGUAACGCGUAGGUAACCUGCCUUGUAGCGGGGGAUAACUAUUGGAAACGAUAGCUAAUACCGCAUAACAAUGGAUGACACAUGUCAUUUAUUUGAAAGGGGCAAUUGCUCCACUACAAGAUGGACCUGCGUUGUAUUAGCUAGUAGGUGAGGUAAUGGCUCACCUAGGCGACGAUACAUAGCCGACCUGAGAGGGUGAUCGGCCACACUGGGACUGAGACACGGCCCAGACUCCUACGGGAGGCAGCAGUAGGGAAUCUUCGGCAAGGGGGGCAACCCUGACCGAGCAACGCCGCGUGAGUGAAGAAGGUUGUCGGAUCGUAAAGCUCUGUUGUAAGUCAAGAACGGGUGUGAGAGUGGAAAGUUCACACUGUGACGGUAGCUUACCAGAAAGGGACGGCUAACUACGUG